rnacentral:rRNA from 1 species
GGGUCAGUAGGUUGGUCGUGCCACCGGUACGUACUGGUCUCACUGAUUCCCCCUUCCUGAAGAGCCGUAAUGCCAUUAAUUUGGUGUUGCGGGGAAACAGGACUGUUACUUUGAAAAAAUUAGAGUGUUUAAAGCAAGCUAACGCUUGAAUACAUUAGCAUGGAAUAAUGAAAUAGGACGAUCGAUCCUAUUUUGUCGGUUUCUAGGAUUGACGUA